rnacentral:rRNA from 1 species
AUUGAACGCUGGCGGCAGGCCUAACACAUGCAAGUCGAACGGUAGCACAGAGAGCUUGCUCUCGGGUGACGAGUGGCGGACGGGUGAGUAACGUCUGGGAAACUGCCCGAUGGAGGGGGAUAACUACUGGAAACGGUAGCUAAUACCGCAUAACGUCGCAAGACCAAAGUGGGGGACCUUCGGGCCUCACACCAUCGGAUGUGCCCAGAUGGGAUUAGCUAGUAGGUGGGGUAAUGGCUCACCUAGGCGACGAUCCCUACCUGGUCUGAGAGGAGGACCAGCCACACUGGAACGGGGACACGGUCCAGACUCCUACGGAGGGCAGCAGUGGGGAAUAUGCACAAUGGGAGCAAGCCUGAUGCAGCCACGCCGCGUGUAUGAAGAAGGCCUUCGGGUUGUAAAGUACUGUCAGCGGGGAGGAAGGCGGUGAAGUUAAUAACUUCACCGAUUGACGUUACCCGCAGAAGAAGCACCGGCUAACUCCGUGCCAGCCGCCGCCGUAA